rnacentral:lncRNA from 1 species
UCGAAACUAACGUGGCGUAGCCAUGGGUACAACUAGUAUCUUUAUAAAACACACACCUCUAUAUAGUACGCUGGUCCCAUAAGCCUUGGUGAUGCCAUUAGAUUCAUGGAGGCGGCCACAUGGCUGACAGUGAGAAUGAUCUGAUCAGUACGUGCAAUAGCAUAUUAGGUCUACGCAAAUAAAACAAAAAGACAGAAUUUCUCACAGUAACAUACCCACAUAUAACAACUAGGAAGUAUGAAUCCACCACAAAUCAAUAACUGAAAACAUAUCCAAAAAUGCCAACAGUUAAAGACACAUACUGUUGCCAACAGUUAAAGCCCAAGGAAUAUCGCAGAAAAAGUGAAAAAACCAAAGUACUUAAUUAAUGCAAAUUACUUAAUAAAAAGUUGGCUACCUGGAGCUCUCCAAUGUCAGGAUAUCUUCAAUCGCAACUUUCCACAAGGACCUAAUCCAAACUUCAAUCUCAGAGAUGAAUCCAUUCUCGAAGAACUCACUGAAUUUUACUUGGAAGUUUCUUAUGUUGUCAAAGUAAACCUAGAUGAAGUGUCAUAUCCAGAAACAAAUUAUUAUGUGAGAAUAAAAUGGUCCAACAAACUACAACAUAGACAAGGCCUGGAAGUUUGCUGAAGGGAAGGUCUGAAAGACUAUGGCUAUAUAUCUGUUGGGUCUCUCAGCAACGAUAGUACAUAGGGAGCAAGAGAGUUACCUGGCGCCACAAGCAGCAGCAGUCCAAAAGCUCCCAGCAGCAGUACAAGCAUUCUGCAGGUUUGGUUAGAGUGUUUCCUGGGCUUUCGGCUUUGCUUGUAUGUGUACACAUGGUAUGUAAAGGUGGGGUUGGGAAUGAGAUGAUGUAUAUAACAAGGAAAUGUCUUUUGGGGUGUAAUCUGAUGAUGCAGUCCUUGCAUUCUGAUCAGACGAUAUUGUAAGCCUGAUUUUUCUUUAGAAAUACAUAUACUACUUUUAUCAAAAAUAAAUAAAGCUUUGUAACAACAAUCCUACUAUAACUUUGACAUGUACUUUUAAGGAGUGGUGGAAUAUUAUGUUGUUUUCUUCAAACAUAAACCUAAUAACACAUCAAUUUAUUUAUUUUUUGUUAUCGUUAUCCUCUGUCUCUCAAUCCUUAGACCCAAUUUUUCUUAGAAUAUGGUAUCAAUCUUUCAAUUUUAAAUAGCAAAUCAAACAAAUAACCAUACAAAUUGUUUUAGAUUUUAGCAAAUCUCUCCGUCCUACUAACCUAAAAAAAUAUUUUGAAACUAAUUGAAUGGCUAAAACUGCGGGAGAGCGGUUUGGGAGCCGGGGGCGGUGCAGUAGCUAGACGGUAAAGUCCCACAUGAAACUGGAUUUGGGUCUACGCAUGAAACGAAGACCAUAGCUGCCGAUCAGGACCUGAUGUGUGACUGGGUCCUUGUUCUUACAGUGUAGCAUUACAUGGUUUUUUCAAUUUCAUUACGUAAAGUCAGGAUUGUGAUUAAUCUUUCACAACCUGACUCCACUAUGUAAUCUUUCCCUUCGAUAAAGUGAAAGUUAUAAAUAAGCAAACUAGUCGUAAACCAUUUUCAAUCUUGGAUUACCCAAUUUCAUUCUAAUUCCUAACACUAUGUGAUAUGAAUAACAAUAAAAAUUCUCGUUUUCUUCUUUUUUGUAAAAAUUUAGUUUUAACAGAAUCAAAUUGUAGAGAAAUCAAAGCCUUGAAUAGAUGGAAUUCAACUUAUCUAACCUUUCAACCAAGGUUGCAACCCCUAACAGCCGAGAGAAACCGAGAAAACACCCCAGCUUGUUCCAAAUAAACAGAUUCUAUUGACUAGUCAAAAUCGAAAUCCAAACUAGGGUUUAUAUAGAUAAUUGAGAGAAACAGAGACCAAGUGGCAGGAAGCAUCAAAGUAAUCGAGACAGAAGAGUAGGAAGAAGAUGAUAAAGGGUGAGAGAAAGAAUUUCAAACUCAGGGUUCAAAUCAGAUCGAGGAAGUGAGAAAGGUUGAGAUUGUGGUGAGGAGGAAGAGAGAGUCGAGGAAGUGGGUGGUUUCUCUUGUUAACGCCUUGGCUUUCCUCAUGUGAUAAGCACGUCACAAAUUUUGGUUUUUUUUUAUUAACUUCUAACAACACAAGGCCGUUAGUAUUAUUUUCUAGUAGUGUUACUAAAUAAUUCAAAAUAAUAUUAAUUUAUUACUAACAAAAAUUGGCCUUUACUAGCGGCAAAAAAAUGUUAUUACACUUCUAACAGCAAAAUGAUGUUAGAAAUCUAAA